AGACGUAGGGGGCAAGCGUUGUCCGGAAUGAUUGGGCGUAAAGGGCGCGUAGGCGGCCUGUUAAGUCUGGAGUGAAAGUCCUGCUUUCAAGGUGGGAAUUGCUUUGGAAACUGGCGGGCUGGAGUGCAGGAGAGGUUAGUGGAAUUCCCGGUGUAGCGGUGAAAUGCGUAGAGAUCGGGAGGAACACCAGUGGCGAAGGCGACUAACUGGACUGUAACUGACGCUGAAGCGCGAAAGUGUGGGGAGC
rnacentral:rRNA from 1 species